rnacentral:rRNA from 1 species
UACAGAGGUGGCAAGCGUUGUUCGGAUUUAUUGGGUGUAAAGGGCAAGUAGGCGGCCAUGCAAGUCUGCUGUGAAAUCCCAGGGCUCAACCCUGGAACUGCGGUGGAAACUACAUGGCUUGAGAGUCAAAGGGGUGAGGGGAAUUCUCGGUGUAAGGGUGAAAUCUGUAGAUAUCGAGAGGAAUACCAAUGGCGAAGGCACCUCACUGGUUGACCACUGACGCUGAAUUGCGAAAGCCGGGGGAGCAAACAGG